rnacentral:rRNA from 1 species
UACGGGAGGCAGCAGUGGGAAUCUUAGACAAUGGGCGAAAGCCUGAUCUAGCCAUGCCGCGUGUGUGAAGAAGGCUCUAGGGUUGUAAAGCACUUUCAAUUGGGAGAAAAAGCUAAUGGUUAAUAACCAUUAGCCUUGAUGUUACCUUUAGAAGAAGCACCGGCUAACUCCGUGCCAGCAGCCGCGGUAAU